rnacentral:tRNA from 1 species
ACCCGUGUAGCCCAAUUGGCAGAGGCACCUGACUUAGGAUCAGGUUGGUGAAGGUUCGAAUCCUUUCAUGGGUA